rnacentral:lncRNA from 1 species
GGGGAGAGUAGAGGACAUUACUAGUCAGGUUAGAUGUAGAGGACAUUACUAGUCAGGUUAGAUGUAGAGCUAUAUCCAGGUUAGAAACGAGUGACUACUACCGCUUUCACUUCCUAAUCA